GUAAUGGUAAGUUAAAAUGGCUUUUUAAUUAGUUAAUUGAACAAAAAAUUUAAGGCAGCAAUUUUUUUUUACAGUGUACUGUGGAAGUCAAUAGUGCCCCAAAUCUGCUUGGUUACAAACAUCGGAACAACUUGAGGUCAGCUGCACUAGAUAAGAUGUUUCAGCAGACAGAAGACAUCGCUUAUCGCUAUAUCAAAGCUUUCAUGCUGUUGGAAGGCCUGUCAAAGAUCCUCCAGGACCCAGCUGAUAUCGAGAACGUUACAAAAUGCAAGCGUGGACCGGAGGAUCUCUGCUUUGUGUUACUGCACCGUUACUUUGUAUGAAUAGAGUCUCAUCUGAAACUUCAUUGAUACGCACAACCGGCGCAACGUCAUAGAAUGUCUCUGAACAGGUUCACGCCCACUUUUGGGGGAAAUCACAUUCCAUUGGCUUCCAUUCAAAAU